rnacentral:lncRNA from 1 species
GCCACUCCCUGUCAAUCAAAAUGAAAAAUAAAACCAGGAGAAAUUUAUCUCAAACGAAAACUCAUUGGAAACGUUCAAAAUAGGUGAACAUUACAACAUUGAGACUAUUUUCGUAUUUUGUUGCUAGGCUAUACAAAACAUUACACAAAUAAGACAAUGCAUGUUUUAUUAACAGAUUUGAAGCAUAACCAAUGCUUAUAUUGAGUAUCAUGGAAAAUAUAAUAAAAUGACUCAAGUAAUACAACUUACAUUUAUCAGCAAUUCAGACAAUAUUAGUAUCUUUUUAGCCAAUUACAUACAUAGUAAUUAGUAAAAUUGAAAAUUAUUAAGUCCAUUAAUUCUAAUUUCAUUUGAUGAGAAUGCCAUUUAUAUAGUAUUAGUAGAUUGUAGGUGGGAUAGUAAUUGACAUAUAGUGAGCGACACAUAUAUCAAGCAUGAUGGAAGUAAUGUGUAAACUACUAUAAAUCAAUCACUUUUAUUUUAAUCUGUUCAAACUUAUAUGUAUAGAAGAAUAAUGUGAUCUCAAUUAUAAAAGGAAGCAUUCUUUUUUUUAAAUAAAUUUUGAAAGAGAGAACACUCCAUGGUUUGACAUUUAAAUAAUUAAUAAUUUAAAUGUCCAGUUUAAGGUGACAUCAUUUUACUUGAAUUUUCUGUGUACUGUCUUCUCAUUAUAAUUAAUUCCUAUUCCCAUGAUGUUGUCUGCUCAUUGUUUCCCCUUAAGUGUUUUCUUAUUGUUAAAAAUAUAGUUGUGUAUAAUACAUAAAACGGUAUAGGCACUUUGAUGACUUAUGGAAUGUUAUGAUUAAAAAGUAUUAUAAAAAAAUUCCAACAAAUAUUUUCACUUGAAGAUAAACAAUCUCAUUCAAAACAACACAAUAAUAAAAAACAUAAUAUAAACACCUUUCAAUGUGCUCAAAGCUAUCCUUUUUUGUUUGUAAGCUAAAAUUUGGCAUUUCUCAAGUGUAACUGCGUCCUUACUGCUAUUUCUGCAUUUACAAAAUUAAAAGUUGAAGCAUUUUUUUCUAAUUUCAAUUGCUCAAAAAGACAAAUUGAUGUAAUGCAUGUCAAUGCAAAUUUCAAGGUUUUAACUUUGGUACACAUUUAAAUGGUCAGUUCCCAUGUAGCUUUGCCAUAUUGAAAUAUCAUAUUCCAAUUGAUAAUGUUCUACAGAAAUACCAUCAAUAUCUUCCCUUAAGUAAAAACAAGGCAUAAAAAAACAUUCAUAUUGAUAUAGACAAUGGCAAUGUGAACAGUAGUUAUGGAAUGUAAAAUUUAAGAAAGACUUUACAUAAACUUUUCAGCAUCAAUAUAUACAUAUAAAAUUUUAAAAUUAGAUUUUUUUGUUUGUAAUUGACCAACUCUAAUACCUUCCUUAUCAUAUUGAGAAAUAUCGCAUUCUACCUGUCAAUAAGUCAUGAUAUGAUUAUCAACAGUCUUUAAUCUUUUAAUGCUUCAUAGAAAAAAGUAAAGAAAAUCUAUAUUACCUUUAAAAGGAAAGAGAUGUGGUAUGAUUGCCAAUGAGACAUCUAUUUAAUAGAAUUCAAAUGACACAAAUUUAAGCAUGAUAGUUCACUUUGUUAACUACCUGUUGCAGUAGUAAUAAUUAUUCUAUUUUAAUGCACAAUAUAAUUUUUGCAACUGACAUUUGCGUAGUACAUGUAUACAUAUUUUGUACAUAAUAACAAAACAAAACAAAUAUAUAUUGAACUUUUCUGAAAUUUUAUUUUGUGAAAUGUUAUCUAAGGAUUAAAACUUAGAUAUACAAAAGCCUGUUUGACUAUGACUUACUAUUGCAUAAAAAUCUCAUCACAAAAAUCGUUUUAUAAUUUGAUAAGCUCUGCUUUUAAACAUCAACAUACAUUCCUGUAUCCUUUUUAGUCUAAAGAUGUUACUAUUGUUUUCUUCCAUUAGUCUAAAUCUUAAAUUCUCUAGAUUUUUUUCAUAAAACUUUAAACUUUUUACAUAAUCAAAGUUCUUUCACAUGAUAAAUAGAUAUUUUUGUUAAUGUUAUAAAAACAUUUCCUCAAAAACAUGUAAAUAAAACUAUAUUUAAAAAAUGAUUUACAAGUUCAUUUAAGGAAUGACUGUAAUAUUUUUUCUGUCCAUGAAGAAAUAACAUAAAAAAUGCGGUAUACACUGAAUAACGCGUGAAGCGGGUUAUUUAAAGUGUGCACCACAUUUUUUAUGUUAUUUCAAAUAGACAGAAAAAAUAUUAAAGUCAUUUCUUAUACUUUAAUUCUUAAUUCCAUUUUAAACCGGAGUAAAUCAUGAAAAAACAUUAAUGACGUCACGAUCACAUGACAAAAUUAUGUCUAUGAGCUGAUAAACAAAACAAUGUAGGCCAAUCAAAAGACGUGUUACAUCUAAAAUUAAAUUAUAUUGUAUUAAUCAUCUACAUUAUCUUUACUAAUCAUCAAAUGCAUCACAAUUUCUAAUGUUUAAUCAUUUUCAUAAUGAACAUUUAUAAAAUAAUUUCAUACUUUUUAUAAAAC